UAACUAAGCGGAGGAAAAGAAACUAACAAGGAUUCCCCUAGUAAGGGCGACUGAAGCGGGAUCAGCCCAGAUUGUAAACUGACCUUAUAYAAGGUUGGGUUGUAGUCUAAAGAGGCGACGCCAGGCAAGGUCCGGGGAGAAGUCCCUUGGAACAGGGCAUCGGAGAGGGUGACAAUCCCGUCUGUGCCUCGGACCGCGUCGUACGGUGCGUCUUCGACGAGUCGGUUUGCUUGGGAUUGCAGACCAAACGGGUGGUAAAUUCCAUCUAAGGCUAAAUACGGGUGGGAGACCGAUAGCGAACAAGUACCGUGAGGGAAAGAUGCAAAGAACUUUGAAAAGAGAGUUAAAAAGGGCCUGAAACUGGUAAGAGGGAACCGAACGGCARAAGUGGUGAUGGGCGCGUAUUUUCCGCCGGGCUCUUGGCCGGCGUACUUGUGCGCGUCCGUAGGUCAGCGUGGGUUGGGGCGUGGGAGUCGUUCAUGGGAAGGUCUUCGGGCCAAUCUCGUGUUCAGGCCGCGCCUGAGACCUUCGGUGACAAAAUUCUUCCGUUCCCCCCG
rnacentral:rRNA from 1 species